UGGGGAAUUUUGGACAAUGGGGGCAACCCUGAUCCAGCAAUGCCGCGUGUGUGAAGAAGGCCUUCGGGUUGUAAAGCACUUUUGUCCGGAAAGAAAACGCCGUGGUUAAUACCCGUGGCGGAUGACGGUACCGGAAGAAUAAGCACCGGCUAACUACGUGCCAGCAGCCGCGGUAAUACGUAGGGUGCAAGCGUUAAUCGGAAUUACUGGGCGUAAAGCGUGCGCAGGCGGUCCGCUAAGACAGAUGUGAAAUCCCCGGGCUUAACCUGGGAACUGCAUUUGUGACUGGCGGGCUAGAGUAUGGCAGAGGGGGGUAGAAUUCCACGUGUAGCAGUGAAAUGCGUAGAGAUGUGGAGGAAUACCGAUGGCGAAGGCAGCCCCCUGGGCCAAUACUGACGCUCAUGCACGAAAGCGUGGGGAGCAAACAGGAUUAGAUACCCUGGUAGUCCACGCCCUAAACGAUGUCAACUAGUUGUUGGGGAUUCAUUUCCUUAGUAACGUAGCUAACGCGUGAAGUUGACCGCCUGGGGAGUACGGUCGCAAGA
rnacentral:rRNA from 1 species